rnacentral:lncRNA from 1 species
UCCAAACCCUCCCCCUUACCUGGGACAGCAUGUAUUGGGCAGUAGGUAAUUCAUAGUUAAGAAUUUGAAUAUCACUAUAGAAAAUUACCAGUUUAUCAUAUUUUUCUGUAUUUGAUUCAUUGUUUUCUAACUUUGCAACGUAAGAGGGGACAACUCAAAUGUAAGGGAAGAUAAUUCAGAUAAAGUUACCUUUACAAACGAAUGUGUUGGGAAUUUACCUAUUUUGUUACGUAAGAAAAUGAGUCCCGUGAACCCAUUUUU